AUUGAACGCUGGCGGCAUGCUUUACACAUGCAAGUCGAACGGUAACAGGGUGCUUGCACCGCUGACGAGUGGCGAACGGGUGAGUAAUGCGUCGGAACGUGCCGAGUAGUGGGGGAUAACGCAGCGAAAGUUGUGCUAAUACCGCAUACGUACUGAGGUAGAAAGUGGGGGACCUUCGGGCCUCACGCUAUUCGAGCGGCCGACGUCUGAUUAGCUAGUAGGUGAGGUAAGGGCUCACCUAGGCGACGAUCAGUAGCGGGUCUGAGAGGAUGAUCCGCCACACUGGGACUGAGACACGGCCCAGACUCCUACGGGAGGCAGCAGUGGGGAAUUUUGGACAAUGGGCGAAAGCCUGAUCCAGCCAUGCCGCGUGUCUGAAGAAGGCCUUCGGGUUGUAAAGGACUUUUGUCAGGGAGGAAAUCCCUAGCGUUAAUACCGCUGGGGGAUGACAGUACCUGAAGAAUAAGCACCGGCUAACUACGUGCCAGCCGCCGCGGUAAAAC
rnacentral:rRNA from 1 species